rnacentral:rRNA from 1 species
CCUACGGUGGGCAGCAGUGAGGAAUAUUGGUCAAUGGGCGCGAGCCUGAACCAGCCAAGUAGCGUGAAGGAUGACUGCUCUACAGGUUUUAAACUUCUUUUAUAAAGGAAUAAAGUGAGGCACGUGUGCCUUUUUGUAUGUACUUUAUGAAUAAGGAUCGGCUAAAUCCGUGCCAGCAGCCGCGGUAAUACGGAGGAUCUGAGUGUUAGCCGGAUUUAUUGGGUUUAAAGGGAGAGUAGAUGGGUUGUUAAGUCAGUUGUGAAAGUUUGCGGCUCAACCGUAAAAUUGCAAUUGAUACUGGCAGUCUUGAGUGCAGUUGAGGUAGGCGGAAUUCGUGGUGUAGCGGUGAAAUGCGUAGAUAUCACGAAGAACUCCGAUGGCGAAGGCAGCUUACUAAACUGCCACUGACAUUGAUGCUCGAAAGUGUGGGUAUCAAACAGGAUUAGAUACCCCGGUAGUC